rnacentral:misc_RNA from 1 species
AAACCGCUUGACGGCCUGCAUCGACUAACAUAUCUUUUUAAGAACUCAACUAGGAAGUUGGCUGUCACUUUGACGACACGGUGCAAAAUCUUGUUUAAGUUCAACUAAGACAUAGUAGGACUCUGAUUCGUUAUUUCAAGUAUUACAAUAUGACGUCCGUUAGGAAUUUUAGUUCUGAAGCUGGAUUUUGGUCUUUUAUAAUUGGCUUUAUUUUUAUCCAAAUUGGAUUUGUCGUACGUGAGGUUGGUGCAGUCCGGUUGGGAGACACAAAAAGAAUACUUCUCAGACAUGUCUUCAAUCUUAUUCUCUCUGGAGUUGUUUAUUGUCUUAUUGGUUACGCCUUCGCCUUCAGUGAUGGGGGAACUGCAGACAAGUUCAUUGGCAUGAAAUUGGACUUUUCUGACGAGAUUCUUGCAUACAAAUACAUUCUUCUUCAGUGCAUUUUUGCAUCAAUGACAGCAUCAAUUGUGUCUGGUGCUGUUGCGGAGCGCUGCAAGUUUAUUGCACACUUCGUUUAUACUGUCUUUAUAACAGGCUUGAUCCACCCCGUUGUUCGACACUGGACCUUAUACAAUAGGGGAUGGUUAUACAAUGGAGACAAGUAUUCAACUUUGGACUACGCUCGCAUCGGUUUUCACGAUGAUGUUGGUAGCGGGGCUGUCCAUGUCAUGGGAGGAAUCGCAGCACUUAUGGGAGCCAUGAUGAUUGGUCCUAGAACCGGUCGAUUUGAUCCCACCCUUAAAAAAGACUUCACCGAAAGAUGCUAUUCAACGCGAGUCGGAGUGCGUUAAAUGCCAUCAAUGGAGGGUUAACUGGAAUGAUUGCUGUGUCUACUGGAUAUGAUAAUUAUUCGACACAUGUCGCAAUUGCUGUUGGUGUGAUUUCCAUCAUUGUAUACACAGCCUACUCUCUCCUCUUGACCAGACUCUGUAUUGAUGAUCCCCUGGAUGUUGUUGCAGUCCACUUUGGCGGUGGCAGCUUGGGAUUGAUUGCAGUUGCUUUCUUUCACGAGACUUAUGGAAUAUUUUAUGCAUGGAAUCUUCAAUCUGCAUAUAUCCUUGGUUGGCAGUGCGUUGGCUUGAUGGCCAUAAUUGUCUGGACAGCUGUGAUUUCUGGACUUAUGUUUGGAGUACUCAGAUUGUUUGGUAUCUUGAGAGUUUGUGAUGAAGCUCAAGAAAAAGGUGAGAUGGUGGCUUUCAACAAUAAACUACAUCAAGAACAAAUUUUACAAUACCAUGUUCCUUAUGUUGUUUAUGAAAUGAUAUGAUGACACUUUAUCGUUCAAGUCGAAGAAUUGUAAAAGAAUUCGGAAUUGCAUCUGCUUUUUAAUUUUUAUUAUCAAUUAUUAAAGGUAUAAUUCAGAUUUAAAAGUGAAUUAUAUUGGCAGUUCUUAUUGUUAUGAUAUAUCAUAUAUCUUGUGCUAAAUGAACUGUUCCAUUCAGUUGCAGAAUUUGCAAAACCAGCACACAAAAUUAAAGAAAUUACAAAAGAAAAUCAAAAGACGGUGGUUUUCACAGUAGAAGCUUCUCCGGAAAAUACUUGUCAAAAAGAUAUGUAUUUGGCCAACGCCAGUGUUGGUGAUUUGCAACUUUAAGAGAAAAAUGAGACAAUCGCCAAACACAAAAUUGGAGACAUUAGCUCCCCUCAUAUCAAAAAAUAAAAUCAGAUUAUGUACUUAUAAAAGAUUGGACUCGUGGACUUACGUUAACUUACAUUAUCUCAUAAUAUUAUUUAACAACAUAGUUUAUGCGUGUACUCCUAAUUGCAUAUUGUUUAUUACACUCAAUAUGUCAUCGUUGUACAGAUAUUAAAGUAUUUUCUUUAUGUUAUUUUUGUAGCUUUUGUCAUAUUGUUGAUCCUAUUGCUGUGUCUAUGAGGGUUUUAGGUUACUUUUGGGAUUUGCGCUUUUUAUUCGUAUAAUAUUAUUGUUAUGUAUAAAAGAAAUGUUUUGGUUUUGAAUUGGUCAUUCUUUUCUAAUUAUGUUUAUGAUGAUUAAUUUUUUUCAGAUUUAUGUAAUGCCAUUUACACUUUUAAUUUUUCUCCAAGAUGUUUUAAAUAUGCAUUUUUUUUUAUUUAGACUAAGUACAUGUUGAUUCGCUAAAAAUUAUAAUAAUAAUCGUUUAUAUUUUUUAUCACAUAUGUUAUUUUUUUCUUGAAGAUUGUUUGAGUAUACUAUAAUAAUUAAAUUGUAUUUU